CAUGCGAUGUACUUGUGUUCCGUUCCCAGUUGAGGUAUAUCGAAAAUAUUUGUAAAAAACAAAGGAUUUGUUCCAGUUUCAAAUGAGAGCGGAAUAGAAUGGCUUCCCAAAAGACAAGCGCAGUACACUAAAAAAAGUAAAGAAUAAUCGCCGACCUAUAUUAUUUUUCGUAGCAAAAUUUCAAUAGUUUGAAUAAAGCAUAUAGACUACCAAGAUAUGAUGACCUGGAACUAAACAGAAGUCGUUGU